rnacentral:rRNA from 1 species
GGUUAAAAAGCUCGUAGUUGGAUUUCUGUCGAGGGCGGGCGGUCCGCACUAUGUGCGUGUAUCUUGUUCGGUCUUGGCAUCCUUUUGGGGAAUGCUUCUGUGCUUGAUUGCAUGGGGUGGAAUUCAAGACUUUUACUUUGAGGAAAUUAGAGUGUUCACGGCAAGCUACCGCUUUGAAUACAUUAGCAUGGAAUAAUGAUAUAGGGCGUAAGUUCUAUUUUGUUGGCUUCUAGGACAUACGCAAUGAUUAAUAGGGACAAUUGGGGGCAUUCGUAUUAACGCGUCAGAGGUGGAAUUCUUAGAUUGCGUUACGACGAACUACUGCGAAAGCAUUUGCCAAAGAUGUUUUCAUUGAUCAAGAACGAAAGUAUGGGGAUCGAAGACGAUUAGAUACCGUCGUAGUCUAUACCAUAAACUAUGCCAAUUAGAGAUUGGGCGUCGUUCGUUUUAUGACUCGCUCAGCACCUUAUGAGAAAUCAAAAUUUUUGGGUUCCGGGGGGAGUAUGGUCGCAAGUCUGAAACUUAAAGGAAUUGACGGAAGGGCACCACCAGGAGUGGAGCCUGCGGCUUAAUUUGACUCAACACGGGAAAACUUACCAGGUCCAGACAUAGUAAGGAUUGACAGAUUGAU